UCCAUAUAAUAAACUAGAAUUAUUAUUAUUCGUAAAAAAAGAAAAAGAAAUAUUAUUAAUUAUUUUAAUAAUUAAAAUAUUUCAAAAAGAAAUCUGAAAUUAUAACCAAAAUUUGAAUGAAAGUGAGAAUGAAACAUGUUUCUUUAGGUACUAAUUAAGGGUGGUGGAAAACAUUUUCCUUAAUUUUCAGUGUUUGAAUUGUGAAAAAUAAAUUCCUAUAGGAAAAUAUUUUACAAACACGGAUAAAAUCACUUCCCAAUCUCUGGAAAACGUCUUACCGAUUUGGAAUCAGUAAGACAUUUUCCAUUCCCUUCUCUACACUCUCAUCGGCAGUGGUUCUCCAUUCCUCUCUGUCCAUCAGCAUUUCUAACUUCUUCCGUCGAUCGUAGGGCUCCUUGAGCUGGUUUCGGGCUCCUUUUCCCCCAUUGAUUUCUUCUCCUUUUUAUAAAUUGAUUUGGGGCUUUUCAUCACUGUGUGCUGUUUUUGUCCGGGAUCUCUUGCUUGGGUUUUCUGCUAGUUUGGGUUCUCUUCUUUGCUCAGGCUUUCUACAAAUUCUGCUCUUCCUCUCUUGCUCGGGUCGGGUUUUUGUUACCGUUUUGUAGCCUGUGGUGUUUGGCUUGUCUUGGGCAUUUGGAAUUCUGGUUCAGUGUUGGUUUCUGGAGGCUUGUUCGGGGCUUCUCAUCGGUUCCAUUUUCUACUUCAAUUCAGAAGGUUCAGUGGGUCUCGUUUUUUGUUGGUUGGUCUGAGGGCGCCGAUAUUUGUGUCGUGGCCUCGUGGGUAGCGCGUUUUUCCGACUCGAUCUCGCUCGUGCACUCAGAGCUUUGUGGGGACUCUGUUUUGGCCUUUGGUUUUCGAGGGCUCGACUGAGUUUGUUUGUACAGCAAGCCGGAGUCAGGUCUGUGCUUUGUUCUCGGUGUUGUUGGUUGUAUUGACUUAUCUACUUUAGAUUGAUAGAGCUUUGACUUCUUUUUCGCUUUGUGUCUUUGACUUGUUGACAUUCGGUUAAUUGGUUUCGUGGUUUAAUCAAAGAUAAAAAACUUAUUCAGGGAGGCUGAGAUGAAGAACAGCAAUCGGGAGUAAUUCUGCAUAUGCAAAGGUUACUGCAGCCAAAAGAGACCAAAGUCUAGAAACUUUUUUUCUUCUGUGCUUCCACAACUGAUUUCUCUAUUACCUCAACUUUCAGCUUCAAAUCUUGAGCUACUGUCUCUUUCUGUCAUUGAUUGUCUGCAGGGAAAGAAAAAGUCAAGGUAACGAAUACUUGAAUUUUUGUUUUGUGUUUAUUAUGUAAACGGUGUAUUUUAAUUGAUGCUGCUGUUGCGUUUGUUUAAUUGGAUGUUAAAUUUUGAACUUUUAAAGAAGCUAUGACUUCUUUUUUUGCUUUGAUUUACUUGUAAAAGUUAAAAUUUGAUGUAGAUUAGGUUUUAGGCCUUUGUAAAAGUUUACAAUUCAAUUUAUAUCUAUGAUUAGUGAAAAUUGUUGAAUGAUUAGAGCUAUGAUUGAAUUUAUUUAAAUUUACUUUUGCUUGCGUGAUUUACUUGGGUUUAUCUGGAACUUGAAUAAAAUUUUGUGCAUUUGUAUGUGGUUCUUUUUUGGAGAA